rnacentral:rRNA from 1 species
AACGAACGCUGGCGGCGUGCUUAACACAUGCAAGUCGAACGCGAAAGUUUUCUUCGGAAGACGAGUAGAGUGGCGCACGGGUGAGUAACGCGUAAGUUAUCUACCUCGGCAUCUGGAAUAACUCACCGAAAGGUGUGCUAAUACCGGAUACGUUGAGUAAUCAAGAAAGGUGGCCUCUGAAUAUGCUACUGUGCUGAGAUGAGCUUGCGUACCAUUAGCUAGUUGGUAGGGUAAUGGCCUACCAAGGCGACGAUGGUUAGCGGGUCUGAGAGGAUGAUCCGCCACACUGGAACUGGAACACGGACCAGACUCCUACGGGAGGCAGCAGUGAGGAAUAUUGCGCAAUGGGGGCAACCCUGACGCAGCGACGCCGCGUGGAUGAUGAAGGCCUUCGGGUCGUAAAAUCCUGUCAAGUGGAAAGAAGUGCAUGGUGGAUAAUACCCAUCAUGUUUGACGGUACCACUGAAGGAAGCACCGGCUAACUCCGUGCCAGCAGCCGCGGUGAUACGGAGGGUGCAAGCGUUGUUCGGAAUUACUGGGCGUAAAGCGCGCGUAGGCGGUUUUAUAAGUCAGAUGUGAAAGCCCAGGGCUCAACCCUGGACGUGCAUUUGAAACCGUGAGACUUGAGUAUUGGAGGGGGUGGUGGAAUUCCCGGUGUAGAGGUGAAAUUCGUAGAUAUCGGGAGGAAUACCAGUGGCGAAGGCGACCACCUGGCCAAAUACUGACGCUGAGGUGCGAAAGCGUGGGGAGCAAACAGGAUUAGAUACCCUGGUAGUCCACGCCGUAAACGAUGUCAACUAGGUGUUGGGACGGUUAAUCGUCCCAUUGCCGCAGCUAACGCAUUAAGUUGACCGCCUGGGGAGUACGGUCGCAAGAUUA